AGCGGGAAGCCUGCUUCAAGAUGAGAUUUCCAUGAGGUGCCCUACAGACUAUAGGGUUGAUAGGCCAGACGUGGAAGCACAGCAAUGUGUGUAGCUGACUGGUACUAAUACACCGAUCACUCACACACA
rnacentral:rRNA from 1 species